GGUCAGUAGACGUGAGACAGAGCUUUGGUGUUUGAAGGGCGCUGUGUGCAGCUUCCUUAUUUAACCUGGAUUUUCUCUCAACAAGACAGUGAAGCGUGCCAUGGGUGCCUGUGUGUGCUGGUACAGGCGUAGUGCCUCCCGGGAGGUGCCUGGAUCUGCUCAGGAGAGCCAGGAAGGCUCAUAAUACUGUAUUGUAGUUGUGGGGCUCAGCAUGACAGUGCCUGGCGAAGCUCUAUGUAAGGUACAACGCGAGCCAAUGUUACCUGGACGUCCAUUUGUAGGAGUACCAAACCCAAGACUGCCUUAUCCCCAUCUGCCUCCCCCCCACCCCCCCAGUACUCCAUGGCCCAGCAGCGACAUCAUUCCAUGUUUAAUAUGAUGCCAGCUGACGUAUUCCUGACACGGCUGUACCAGGAACAAGAAUCUGAUGGUGAAGGAAGGGGUGACGGUGAAGGUGGAGAGGUGCUGGAAGGGCUUCGUGUAGGGCAGGUGUUCUUAACCUUUUGAUGGUUCCAUACCCCCAAUGGAUUGUCGAAUAUGGUCCCAUAACCCCUUCACUUGACUGUUCAAAUAAUUAUCACCAAUCCUAUUAUUUGCCAGUAUGUCUUCCAGAUACGAGUAUUUCAAUCGCUUGAAUUUACUGUACUUUAGAUACGGAUUACUAGGAAAAAACAUAACCAUUGAUAAUUUUAUUAUUUUUUUACUGAAAGCAAAAUUAAUAAAGUUAUACUUCCGUUUUAUUAUACAAAAAAAAAAAAUAAAUAAAUAAAUAAAUAAAUAAAUAAAAUAAAGAACAGAACAUAAAUGUGCAAGUUUUUAGUCCCAGAAAUCGAGUCCCAGACCCCCAGCCUUUGGUUCCCAUACCCCCAAGGGGUAUGGAUAUCCCCGGUUAAGAACCCCUGGUGUAGGGGUACCUCAACAGGAUGUACGAGCAGGUGCAGGGGACGUUCAACAAAGCCAAGACAUUCGCCAAGCAGACCAUGAAUGUGUGUGAGAGAAGUAAUCAUUGUAAAGGUAGAUUGUUUUUGGCUUUGUUUCUUUGUUGAUUUAUUUAUUUGUCAUUGUAAAGGUAGGUAAGUUUUGGUUGUAUUGUCUGUCUUUUUAUUUAUUAAUUUUAUUCAUUUAGUUUUAUUGAUUUAUAUAUUUUCUUUCAUGGGAAGUUUUGUGAAGUGUGUUUUAAAAGA